GACGAACCGUGCGAACGUUAUUCGGAAUCACUGGGCUUAAAGGGCGCGUAGGCGGGUAGCCAAGUCUAGGGUGAAAUACUCCAGCUUAACUGGAGAACUGCCCAAGAUACUGGUUGUCUCGAGGGGGGUAGGGGAGUACGGAACGUUUGGUGGAGCGGUGAAAUGCGUUGAUAUCAAACGGAACUCCGGUGGCGAAGGCGGUACUCUGGACCCCAUCUGACGCUGAGGCGCGAAAGCCAGGGGAGCGAACGGG
rnacentral:rRNA from 1 species